AUGGCGCUCUCUCGUCGCAGCGCCGCAUCCGCCCUCCUGCUUCUCGUGCUCCUCGUGGCCACAGAGAUGGGGACGACGACGACCAAGCUGGCGGAGGCGCGGGACUGCCUGUCGCAGAGUCACAACUUCAAGGGCGCCUGCCUCAGCAGCAGCAACUGCGCCGGCGUCUGCCACACCGAGAGCUUCCCCGGCGGCGAGUGCCACACGCAGCACUUCGAGCGCAAGUGCUUCUGCAAGAGGGUCUGCUAG
rnacentral:rRNA from 1 species